GAUGAAGAACGUAGCGAAAUGCGAUAAGUAAUGUGAAUUGCAGAAUUCAGUGAAUCAUCGAAUCUUUGAACGCACAUUGCGCCCGCCAGUAUUCUGGCGGGCAUGCCUGUUCGAGCGUCAUUUCAACCCUCAAGACCCCUUCGGGGGACUUGGUGUUGGGGACCGGCACAGGGGCCUGCCUGCUUGUCUUGCAGCGCCCUCGCCGCCCCCGAAAUGAAUUGGCGGCCUCGUCGCGGCCUCCCCUGCGUAGUAGCACAACCGCGCAACGGGAACGUGACGGCGGCCACUGCCGUAAAACAACCCCAAUUUUAUUAGAGUUGACCUCGAAUCAGGUAGGAAUACCCGCUGAACUUAAGCAUAUCAAUAAGCGGAGGA
rnacentral:misc_RNA from 1 species